GUGCCAGCCGCCGCGGUAAUACGGGGGGAGCCAGCGUUGUCCGGAAUCACUGGGCGUAAAGGGCGUGUAGGCGGGCAUGCCAGUCAGGUGUAAAAGUCUACGGCUUAACCGUAGUUGGUCAUCUGAUACUGCAUGUCUUGAGUUCGAGAGAGGGUGGUGGAAUUCCUGGUGUAGCGGUGAAAUGCGUAGAUAUCAGGAAGAACACCGGAUGCGAAGGCGGCCACCUGGCUCGUAACUGACGCUGAGGCGCGAAAGCGUGGGGAGCAAACAGGAUUUGAUACCCUGGUAGUCCACGCUGUAAACGAUGGGCACUAGGUGUAGCGGGUAUUGACCCCUGCUGUGCCGAAGCUAACGCGUUAAGUGCCCCGCCUGGGGACUACGGCCGCAAGGCUAAAACUCAAAGGAAUUGACGGGG
rnacentral:rRNA from 1 species